GUGAAUCAUCGAAUUUUUGAACGCAAAUUGCACUCUCCUCGAUGCGUAUGCCUGUUUGAGGGUCAGCCUAAAAAAAAUCGACAUCGUUGCUGUUUCGCGGUGACGUUCGUCGGAAAUUGGGCCAUCUUAUACCUUUUGGUUUUUAUGCGACUUCAAAUCUCAUUUUAAUCGAAUGACGUUUUAAUAGUAUUUCGCGUUAUCA
rnacentral:misc_RNA from 1 species